AAAACUUUCAACAACGGAUCUCUUGGUUCUGGCAUCGAUGAAGAACGCAGCGAAAUGCGAUAAGUAAUGUGAAUUGCAGAAUUCAGUGAAUCAUCGAAUCUUUGAACGCACAUUGCGCCCUUUGGUAUUCCGAAGGGCAUGCCUGUUCGAGCGUCAUUACACCCCUCAAGCUCUGCUUGGUAUUGGG
rnacentral:rRNA from 1 species